rnacentral:rRNA from 1 species
UACAGAGGUCUCAAGCGUUGUUCGGAUUCAUUGGGCGUAAAGGGUGCGUAGGCGGCGCGGUAAGUCGGGUGUGAAAUCUUGGAGCUUAACUCCGAAACUGCAUUCGAUACUGCCGUGCUUGAGGACUGGAGAGGCGAGUGGAAUUCCUGGUGUAGCGGUGAAAUGCGCAGAUAUCAGGAGGAACACCGGUGGCGAAGGCGGGUCUCUGGGCCGUUACUGACGCUGGAGGAGCGAAAGCGUGGGGAGCGAACAGGA